rnacentral:rRNA from 1 species
GAUUUCCGAAUGGGGGAACCCAACAUCUUUAAUAGGAUGUUACGAUUGUGUGAAUACAUAGCACAUUCGAGGUAGACGCAGAGAACUGAAACAUCUAAGUACCUGCAGGAAGAGAAAGAAAAUUCGAUUCCCUGAGUAGCGGCGAGCGAAACGGGAAAAGCCCAAACCAGCAAGCUUGCUUGUUGGGGUUGUAGGACUCCAAUAUGGUAGUUCUUUCAGAUAGUCGAAUGACUUGGAAAAGUCAGUCAAAGAGGGUAAAAACCCCGUAGACGAAAUGUGGAAGACACCUAGGAGGAUCCUGAGUACGGCGGAACACGAGAAAUUCCGUCGGAAUCCGGGAGGACCAUCUCCCAAGGCUAAAUACUCCCUAGUGACCGAUAGUGAACCAGUACCGUGAGGGAAAGGUGAAAAGCACCCCGGAAGGGGAGUGAAAUAGAACCUGAAACCGUGUGCCUACAACAAGUCAAAGCCCGUUAAUGGGUGAUGGCGUGCCUUUUGUAGAAUGAACCGGCGAGUUACGAUUGCAUGCGAGGUUAAGUUGAAGAGACGGAGCCGCAGCGAAAGCGAGUCUGAAUAGGGCGUUUGAGUAUGUAGUCGUAGACCCGAAACCAUGUGAUCUACCCAUGUCCAGGUUGAAGGUGCGGUAAAACGCACUGGAGGACCGAACCCACGUACGUUGAAAAGUGCGGGGAUGAGGUGUGGGUAGCGGAGAAAUUCCAAACGAACUUGGAGAUAGCUGGUUCUCUCCGAAAUAGCUUUAGGGCUAGCCUCGGAAUUGAGAAUGAUGGAGGUAGAGCACUGUUUGGACUAGGGGCCCAUCUCGGGUUACCGAAUUCAGAUAAACUCCGAAUGCCAUUCAUUCAUAUCCGGGAGUCAGACUGUGAGUGAUAAGAUCCAUAGUCGAAAGGGAAACAGCCCAGACCACCAGCUAAGGUCCCAAAAUAUAUGUUAAGUGGAAAAGGAUGUGGGGUUGCACAGACAACUAGG